GACGAACGCUGGCGGCGUGCCUAAUACAUGCAAGUUGAGCGCUGAAGGUUGGUACUUGUACCAACUGGAUGAGCAGCGAACGGGUGAGUAACGCGUGGGGAAUCUGCCUUUGAGCGGGGGACAACAUUUGGAAACGAAUGCUAAUACCGCAUAAAAACUUUAAACACAAGUUUUAAGUUUGAAAGAUGCAAUUGCAUCACUCAAAGAUGAUCCCGCGUUGUAUUAGCUAGUUGGUGAGGUAAAGGCUCACCAAGGCGAUGAUACAUAGCCGACCUGAGAGGGUGGUCGGCCACAUUGGGACUGAGACACGGCCCAAACUCCUACGGGGGGCAGCAGUAGGGAAUUUUCGGCAAGGGAAGAAAGUCUGACCGGGCAACGCCGCGGGAGUGAAAAAGGUUUUCGGAUCUUAAAACUUUGUUGGUAGGGAAAAACGUUGGGGGGGGUGGAAAGCCCAUCAAGUGACGGUAACUACCCAAAAAGGGACGGCUAACUACGU
rnacentral:rRNA from 1 species